UCCUUCACAAUACACGACCUGAGACACUAAAGUUGACAGUAUAUUCUGGAUUCAGUUAGAUGCCUUUAGCUCAUCACAGAAACCUUAAAACAGUGCUUUUAAAAAUAAAUUACCAUGCAAGGAAAAACUGGAUUCUUGUAAAACAGUAAGUACUAUCUAUGUAUACAGGCUUAAGAAUAAAAACAGAUGUGUCAAGAAACGAAGUAAAUCACCCACAGUCUGAUCAUAGUAAGACAAUCCUGUCUUGUUGCAGACUAAAAGUUUGUGUCCCCCAAAACUCAUAUGUUGAAAUCGAGUCCCCCAUGUGAUCAUACUUGGAGGUGGGGCCUUUGGGAGGUAAUUAGGUCAUGAGAGUGGAGCCUCAUAAGUGGAUGAGUGCCCUUACGAAAAGAGGACCUGGAGCCAGCUCACUUUCUCACUGCCAUGUGGGGCACAAGAGGGGCUUCACCAGAAGCUGACCACGCUGGCACUCUGAUCUCAGACUUCCAGUCUCCGGAACUGCGAGAAAUAAAUGUUUGCUGUUUACCAGUCGGUGAUAAUUUUCCCAGCAGCUAGGGUUGACUGAGACAUGGCUGGAAAAGAGGCCAAGCAUCAUCAUGGCCAAACUUCUUCUCUUCUUAGAGCCAACACUUCCUCAGGGGGCACUUAACACCCCUGUCCCAUCACACUCCACUUACUGAAGCAAAUUCUCCCACCUGAUCACAUACAGACGGGCCAGCUCUGAGGAGACAUGCAAUCUCCUUGUGAAACUCAUCACUCUUGAAGCGUGAUAUGAAGCAAUGUCCUUAUAGUGCUCACCUAAAUGGAUAAAUGGCACCAGUCUUCUGAUGGGAAAAUCCACAGGAAAAGUUCAAGUCUUGACCCUAAUUACAGAAGAAAUGAGCUCACUGCAGUCAUGAAACUCUGAGUCUAGAAGUGUCAUUUCCACACCGAGCCAGGCAGUUUCUUUAUUCCCUGAACCAUAUGUUUAUUUCUUAGCUGAACUAUUCUGUGAGUGGUUGUCAAGAACUAAGAUUUGUUAAAUUUGUUUAUUUUUGCUUUUCUCUCAGCUCAAAAUUAGAAACAUAUGUUCAUCACCUCCACAUAUGAGUAGUUCAGCAUGAACUGUUUUUCUCAUUUUAUUCCGAGCAGAUUAGUCAAAAUAGUUCUCAUUUCAAUGUUGACCUGAAAAAAGUAAGACAUGCUUGACUUAUUUUAUUAAUUGUGUUUCCUUUAUAAACUAGCAAAUGAACUUAAUUAACUGAAAUAUGGCCGUGCAUCUCAGUGACAUAAUGAGCGAUACUUUCAGGUGAGAGAUGCUAAAGGCAUCAUUAAGCCUGUGGAAGCAACAUGAAGAGACACAUCAGAGGCAUCAAGUCCCAUAGUUCAUGUCUGAAGUAGAGACUGCUAAUGGAAUCUGGGACUUUUCAUCUCCAGUGUUCUGUCUUUAAUGGGGCCAUGGCUUCAGCUGAGAAUAAUUACCAUCUGAAGACAGCUCCCAGGAUGAUCCAUGGUGGGCUGGAGGAGCUGACACAAAAUUUGCUUCUGGGUCAGCCCAGUGGGCAUUGGACAUUGAGUGUGCUGCCAGACGCUUCCCUGCAGGGGUGAAAGAUCAGGAGCAAUGAAGGCUAUUGAGGAGCUCAGCUGUCAUUUAGGGGCAUUUAGGAAGGCAGAUGGCCACGUCUUGGUCCAAAAUUGAUGCCAUAGGUUGAGAGUUUUCUAUAAAGGAAUCUUGGACUUACAUGACAAAAAAAAUAAAAAAGGAUAAACAGUAGUUAUCACUGCAUUGUAUUUCAGAAACAGAGUAUUUCAGGAGUUGAGAAGAAAAGGAAGGCAAAAUGAUCUAUUUGGUACCAAGCUCACCUGUGUGCCCUCCAAUCUCUCUGGCUCUCUCUUCUCUGUCUCUUUGUCCUUGUCUCUGUCUGUCUGUUUCUCUCUCUGUAUAUAUAUUCGUACUCACACCGACAUACACAUGCAUAUAUAUGCAAGAUUUAUUAUUUAGUUAUCACAGAAACCCUAUGAGUUAAGCAUUUAAGUAACUUAAUUUUAUCUAGAAAUGGAGGCUUAAAUUGUUAUUAUAACUCAUGCAAGUUUCUAUAGAUAUUAAGUGGCACAGUAAGAAUUAAAGCUAUCUAUCUACUUAUGUCUAUUUAUCUAUCCAUCAUCUAUUGAUUAUAUAUCAGUCAUUGUCUCUCUCUCUAUAUAUAUACGUAUAUAUUUUAUAUAUAUAUAUAUGUAUAUAUCAAUUUUUAUCAUUGGUCUUAUUUUUACAAUCUAGCCCACUGCCUGGCACAGAUCAACAGAUCAAGCACUCCAUGAGUUGUAUUCACCAAGUCCUGCUCUGACCCCCACCACCAUGCCCAUGCUCUUCCCCCAUGUUCUUUUCACCACAUCCCUGUGUCUCAACAUUUCUGAAGAUCCUGGAGGUCUUCUCUCACCAUUUCUUCUCCAGGAGCUUCAUUCUCUUGUAUGAUUUUCCAUCUAAGGCUAAGAGAUGAUGGAGAGGUCAAGGACCUGCAUAAGUAAAUUACUGUCUAUGACUAGCACUAUUCUUAGCCUUGGAGAGGCAGAGAUCAGUUAGGAAAAGGAGGUACAGAAGAAAUAAUUAUUAUAGUGCCUGCUUCCAAAAAAUGUACUGUCACUCAUUCAUUCACUCCACACCCUUUCACUGAGCACGUACCUCAUGGUUAACAUCAUUCUGGGUGGUGGCAACAAGCAUAAAAAGCAUCUUUGCCACCUUUGAGAAGCUUCUAUUCCGGUGGCCCCUGUGUCUGGCCCCUUCAGCACAGCCAGCUCUCCUCUGCACCAUACCUGUGAGCCCAUCAAAGUCAAAUGUUGCUGGAAUUUUGCAGGACCUGCCCCAGCUGCUUCACUCUCGUGUUAGUAUCAGUAGUUAAAUCUGUAGUGGCUGUCCAUGCUGGGGCACACGUAAUCUCACAGAAACUCUAUUAAAUGUGUACUGUCACUGUCUCCAUUUCACAGGUGAAGAAACAGAGGCUCAGCCAUUUCUAAAGCACAGUGAUAAAGCAUGUGAACUGUGGGAUUUGCCUACCUGGGUUCAGGUGCAGCCCUGACACUGACAGCUAUGGGGGUUUGGAAAGAUUACUUAUUCCUUCCUCACCUCAGAUUCCUGGUUUGUAAAGUGGUCAUAAUACUGACACAUACUUUAAUGUGGAAUUGGUAUAGGAAUUAAGUGCAUUCAUACAUGUUUAGAACACUGUCUCGAAUUGUAUAAUGGUUUUGAGUUGAAUGAUGGUACCCCCAAAAAAGAUAUGUCCAAGUUCUAACCCUGAGAAGACGACUUUGGAAAAAAGGUUCUUUGCAGAUGCAGUUUUAAGGAUCUCAAGAUAUGAUUGUCCAGGAUUAGGACAGGCCUAAAUCUGGAGAAGAAGGCCAUGGGAAGACGGAGGCAGAAUUUGGAGUGAUGCUUCUGUAAGCCAAAGAGUGCCACGGGUUGCAAGGAGGCACGGAGUAGAUUCUCCUUCAUAGUCCCUAGAAGAAACAGACCUGCCCAUACCUUAACUGCAGACUUCUGGUCUCCAUACCUGUGAGAGUAUAUAUAUUUACGUUGAAUUCAGUAACCACAUUUGUGGUGAUUAAUAUAGCAGUCACAGGACACUAAUGAGGUAAUUAACACCCACACCCACAUAGACUUUUUAAAGCCAAAUAUCAGGUGUGACACCCCAAGGGCUCAACCUGCAUCACAUUUCGUCACCCAGGUCUUGAUCUCAUGACCUCCAGGUGCUGGUUCUGCACAUAAGCCUCCAUCCCUGCCCUUGACCCUUCUGUUGGCGAUCAGGCUUCUUUCUGUACCUUACUGAGCUCGGCUUCCCACCUGGUGCUCCAUUCUCUGUUUACUCCUGCUUUGAACUUUCCCCGGGAACUUCAGGUGAAAGAUACACCUUUGCCAGAUGCCUGCUUCUUGCUGAAACUCCCACUGGGUUAGCUCCUUAUCUUCCCUUCCUCCUCCUCACCAGGUGGGUGCUGGGGCACGACGGGGGAACACAGCCAUUGAUAGCCUAUUGAGUUGCAAAGUGUACACUUUAUGCACAAUUAGUGAGUAGUUCAAGUAGCAAAUAAAUAGAAGCUAAGCUGAAUAGAAUGCAAAACAGAGGCAGCAUAGGCACUAUUUGCUGCAGUGGUUGGAGAGAGCACAAGGAGGAAGAGAAAUAUUAAGAUGUGCAGUGAGGAGCAAGGGGCCCAGCCAGUCCAGGAAGCACCUCGGAGCUCAAGGCAGGGGAAGAGACAGAGAAAGAACAAGUUGGCCAAGACAGAGGGACAGAUGAAACUUGGGAGGUCUUUCUAGGUGGAGGGUUUUCACAAAAUAUGGAUUCAAAUGGAAAUAAAGAGUCCAAUUUCCUGUACUGUUAAAAUUUAUAAAAUAUCUACAUCUAGCAUCCUUCCUUUGAUCUAUUUCAAGCCACUACAUAAAAUAUAAGAAAUAAUUUAAAGAAAAAGUUUCAGGUAUUUUUUAUUUAGAAAUCAGUGUUCAUAAAGUUUAAAUAUUUUAGAAAAGCAUUUUCCUGUGAUUUGUCAAUGUGUAAAACACACCAAGUGUUAAAGCGAAUUAGUCCCAAAUUCCCACUCAUUAUAAAGAAGAGAGAUACAAGUAGUCCUGACAUGACAACUGGACUCUGACUCUCUGGCUUGGUUAUUCAAUUUACAGAGCAGUUGAGGAAGUGAGCAGGUAUGAAUAGCCCUUAAUAGUUUCUCCAAGUGUGACAGACAGAGCCACUCUGGUCUCCGACUCAGUUGGGUUCAAGAAAUGUUAAUAAAACUUCUUCUGGCAAAAAUAAAAUGAUAUCAGGAGGAUGUAUCAACCAAAUCAAUUGAAAGCACUAGAAAUGGUAACCACAUGUACAAAUAUGUAAAAUUAUUUUAAAAUGUUAUUUAUAUCUCUCCUUCGAAUAAUGGAUUGUUUAGAAAUAAAGCAAUAAAUUAUAGCACAGAGUUUAUAAGGUAGGUAAAAUUAAAGUGUAUAACAAGAAUGGAAUAAAGGCCAGGAGAAAAUAAAUAACACUGUUGUGAGGUUUUUGUACUAUAUGAAGGGGCAAUAUAUAACUUGAAGUGUGUCUGUGAUGUAUACUACUAUAUAUCCUAAAGCAGAUACUAAAAUAAGCAAACACAGAAGGUAGUAAAGGAGGAAAAAGACAAACAGUAGAUGGGAAAAAUGGAAAAUAAAUAUGACAGACAAAGAUAACUAUAUCAAUAAUUAUAUUAAAUGUAAGCAGUUGAAACACUGAAAUUAAAGGAAAAAAUAGUCGAAUUAAAAAGUAAGACUCAAUGAUAUGCUACUUGCAAAAAAAUUAAAUCAAAUUUUCCAUGAAAAUCCACAGGGAAAAGUAUACCAUGAUAAUGCAAACGAAAAUAUAGCUGGAGUGGCUGUAUUUAUUUCAGCCAAAGUAAUUUCAGAGAUGAUAAUAGUACUUCUAUUCUCUGAAUAAAGAUAAUACAAUUCUAUCCAGGAAUAAAGAAGACUAAUUCUUAGUGAUUGUGGAAUCAAUUCAUCACAUGGACAUAAUGAUUUUCAUCAUUUGUGGUCAUUUUAAGCCUCAAACGUUGAUCCCCUGUUGUCAACCUUUGGUCAGAGUUUAGAGUCGCCACCCCCACCCGCCACCCAGCAGGUGCACUUGUGUGGGUGUAAAAUUUGGAAAGUAGAGAAAGGGGACUAGUGACCUCAGCAUUCAAUUAACAUAUUUUAAAAUAAUUCCCCUGUUUCUAGAAAGUUGUUCUUCCCUCAAAUAUCUCUGAGCUUCCAAAGACCCUCUGUUUUGCCUUUUCAAGAGCAUGAACCUCCAUCAUUCUGCUGUGAUUGAGAAGGACAGCUUCUCAAUGUGCAGAUGUGAAGAAGGGGACCCAGGGAUCUAUUUGCUUUUUAAAUAUAACUUAAUUUGUGUCUCUUAUUUGAGUCCUGGUAUCAGUUAGUGUUUAACUAGGGGAGCAGUACCACUAUGAGUAAUGGGAUGAGGGAUUCAUUAUAGAAAUCAGAUUGGCACAAUUAGGGGAGAAGCUGGAGAAAUGAAGGUCUAAAGGGAAACAAGAACAUAGGAGGA
rnacentral:lncRNA from 1 species